rnacentral:lncRNA from 12 species
AAUUUUUCUCUCCCACAAUGAGCAACACACACACAGCAGAUUCAGAGCUAAUCAUCUUGGAUCUAAAUUGUGUCUUCCUCUCACUGCGUAAAGGACUUUGUCAUUUUUAGAUGGACAACCAGGAAUCAGUUAUUUCAGCUGAAAUCAGUGAAAAGGGAGAUAAGAAGAAGGUGCUGGUGACCCCUGCUGUGUAUACAGCUAGGGAAGAUUAACAAGAGACUGGCUGUGUGUCCAGUGACUUAUCACACCUGAGAGUUCCCUGUGAAGGCAAAACACCACAGAAGUGCCAUUCUGCGCCUCUCAUCACCCCUGGCACAGGCCACCUUCCCGGGGGCGCAGCUGAGUUCCUGCUUUUCAAGGUCCAAUCUCAUGAACUGGUCUCCUUGAGCUGCUAUCCUGAAGCACCACAGACUGGGAAACUUGAACAAUGGAAAUGUCUUUUCUCACAACAUGGAGGCUGGAACUCUGAGAUGGAGGUGUCCACUGGGAUGUUUCUUCUGAGUCCUUUCCUGGAGGAGUCCUGGAGAUGGCCAUCUUCUCCCUCAUCUUCACGUCACCUUCCCUCCGUGCGUGUCUAGGUCCUAAUCUCUUCUGGUAAGAACACCUGUCAUAUUGGAUUGGGACCUACCUUCAUGGCCUUAUCAAGCCUAAUUAAAUCUUUA